AGAGGGUGAGAAGAAGAAGAGUUGGCUUUAGACCGCAAUUCGAUAUAACGAGUGACAAAGUUUAAAGACACAGCAUGUUUGGAUUGAAGGGGUAGAACAUACGAUAUUUCGUAUUUCUUUUUAUUCCAACAUUCGGUUUCAAGUGGAAUAAGAAGAAGACAACCUCUAAUAAUUCACAUUGAAAUGACGUCAAUCAAAGUAAAAAUGAAUUAAAAGAAAUUGUCAUCGACAUUGGUGUAGAGAAAAAGGUAAAUGGAAAGAAUAAAUAGUGGGAGACACCUUCAAAGUUGGUGUUAGAGAUUAUAAAAAAGGACGCUAUUCUACGUUUGAGAGACGAGACACAUACGGUUGGAACUAGAAAGCAUCUUCCUUCUCUUGUUCCUAUGGUAUCAUAAUAGGGGAAAACGUGUAAGUGCGUCUGAUGGCAGACUGCCACUUAAACCUAACCUUCCCGGGAACCUUACUAACCUUCCCUAGGCCAACAAAGAAUAAUGAAAAAGAACGGAGGAGGAGCUAUAUCAAGUUAUAGUCAGAUUCGGGGCUGAAGAAGCAAAAUGGGGAGAUCGGUUUAUAUGGUUUAAAUGCGUUUUUUUCUAAAGCAAGCUUAAAUUAACAGCUGAUAACUGACAGAAGAAAGAAUGCAAUUACAGAGUCACAAUUUGUGAAAAAAUUCGUCAACGCCAACUAUAUGAAAAAUCCGCAAUUACUUUUUGGGCAACCCAAAAGCUGCCAUUUAAACCAGUCUCUCGAUCAUCUUUGUUCCUAGAGCUUAAUUUGUGAUGGUUUGGCAGAAGUUUGGUGUGUAAAAUAAAAAAAUUCAAUUAAA